rnacentral:rRNA from 1 species
CGACCGGCGCACGGGUGAGUAACGCGUAUGCAACCUACCCAUAACAGGGGGAUAGCUCCCGGAAACGGAAAUUAAUACCCUAUAGGACUCAUAUAUCGCAUGGUAUUAGAGUUAAAACUCAGGUGGUUAUGGAUGGGCAUGCGUGCCAUUAGCUAGUUGGCGGGGUAACAGCCCACCAAGGCGACGAUGGUUAGGGGGUCUAAAAGGAUGAUCCCCCACACUGGUACUGAGACACGGACCAGACUCCUACGGGAGGCAGCAGUGAGGAGUAUUGGUCAAUGGGCGAGAGCCUGAACCAGCCAUGCCGCGUGCAGGAAGACGGCCCUACGGGUUGUAAACUGCUUUUUUAUGGGAAGAAAAGGCUCUACGUGUAGGGCACUGACGGUACCAUAUGAAUAAGCAUCGGCUAACUCCGUGCCAGCAGCCGCGGUAAUACGGAGGAUGCGAGCGUUAUCCGGAUUUAUUAGGUUUAAAGGGUGUGUAGGCGGAAGAUUAAGUCAGUGGUGAAAUCUCACAGCUCAACUGUGAAACUGCCAUAGAUACUGGUUUUCUUGAGUACAGUUGAAGUAGGCGGAAUGUGUAAUGUAGCGGUGAAAUGCUUAGAUAUUACACAGAACACCGAUUGCGAAGGCAGCUUGCUAAGCUGUUACUGACGCUGAUGCACGAAAGCGUGGGUAGCGAACAGGAUUAGAUACCCUGGUAGUCCACGCCGUAAACGAUGAUUACUCGUUGUUGGCGAUAUAUUGUCAG